rnacentral:lncRNA from 1 species
GCACCUGCGAAUAGAAGGGAGGCCAUAUCCUGGAGACUAAUUUGGUGGUUUAACUUGGUAAAGAUGGGAGGGAUCAGCUUCCAUGCACUUGUUUCUCCUUGAGAGUUAGUGCCAAUCUCCAGUCUCUGAGAUCAAGGACAACCAGAGCUAAAAUGUGAGAUUGUUGUAAGAGAUCCUAGACCAAAAGACAUCAUAAUCGUUGCUUUAAGAGAUAGCUGAUAUACAACUUGUGAUAACUCUAAGGAAAAAAAAUGUAUGUACUUCAUUAGACAGUAUCUGUAGAGGAACCCUGGCACAACAAGGAAUUUGCUGCUCAAGGACAGGUCAGCAGGGCUGGAGAGCUCUCCCAUACAGGUGUUUCUUGACCAGCUAGACAAAUGCCUUGACAGUUUUCUCUGGUUAUUUUUCUCAGGAGUUGAAAAUGAAUGCAAAUUUUGAUCUCUGGUUUGCUGACAUGCUCUAUGUUGCUGUUAUUCCUACUGCUUGGACAACUGGCUACUGACCAUUCUGUGAAUAAAAGAGCCAUGGAGAAUGUUCUUUCAGCAUUCAGAUGCGUGGAAGUAUAAAAGAAAUUUCAACUAUUCCAAGAAACAGAAUUUGACAGAAGGCACCAAGUGGAAGAGUCUGGAAUAGUUACGACUUCAUUUACAGCUUUUCAGCCAUAGAUGUAAAGAAGAAAGGAUAGUUUUCAGACAUGUUGUUGAAGAAUGGGAAUGAGGAAUUGUCUUAAAAACUUUGCUGACUGCUUAUCUACAGGGAGAAAAGUGGUGGAGUUUGGGGGGAGUUCAGUUAAGGCAUUAAGGGCAUGAGGUCCAUCAGGCUUGGCCAAACCUGAAAUUUGAGUUUCUGAAAAAAGAGGGGAAUGGAUAGGAAUUGUGGGUCUAUGAGAGGUGAAAGGGAGCAGUGGCUGCUUGAAAUGGGGUGGAGAGCUCUGAACAAAGGGUAUCAGCUCAGGCCAGAGAAGAUCAGAUCACGUUGAAGGUCAUUAUGUGUUUGAGUGGAGCAGUUGCAGUAGACGACAGAAGUGACAUUUGAGGGGAUCUUACAAUAUGGAACAGAAACCGAAGUUGGAGUUAUUGAGAAGGCUUGUAAGUACAAAGAAGAUCAAGGUAAUUGGUUAUUGAGUCAGUGGAAUCAUACAGGAACAAGGAAGGUUUAUUUUAUGGCGAUGCCACCAAGUUCUAAAGUAAAAAAAAUAUACUCUUUUUUUAGCACAUGGGAAUAGGUUUUUUUAACAAGACAAGGAGUCAGUGUUAGAGCAAUGGUUAGAAUUACUGGACAACACCUCAG